rnacentral:rRNA from 1 species
UGCCUGUACCAUAACCGACACAGGUGGGUAGGUAGAGUAUACUAAGGGGCGCGAGAUAACUCUCUCUAAGGAACUCGGCAAAAUGACUCCGUAACUUCGGGAGAAGGAGUGCCUUAUUUAUAAGGUUGCAAUAACAAGAUCCAAGCAACUGUUUAUCAAAAACACAGGUCUCCGCUAAGUCGUAAGACGAUGUAUGGGGGCUGACGCCUGCCCAGUGCCAGAAGGUUAAAGAAGUUGGUUAGUGUAUGCGAAGCUGAUGACUGAAGCCCUGGUGAACGGCGGCCGUAACGAUAACGGUCCUAAGGUAGCGAAAUUCCUUGUCGGGUAAGUUCCGACCCGCACGAAAGGCGUAAUGAUUUGGAUACUGUCUCGGAGAGAGGCUCGGUGAAAUAGACUUGUCUGUGAAGAUGCGGACUACCUGCACCAGGACAGAAAGACCCUAUGAAGCUUUACUGUAACUUGAAAUUGGAAUUGGACUUUGCUUGCGCAGUAUAGGUGGGAAGCGUUGAAGAUAUUCUUGCGGGAGUAUUGGAGCUAUCAGUGAGAUACCACUCUUGUAAUGUUAGAUUUCUAACUUUGAACCAUAAUCUGGUCAAAGAACAGUUUCAGGUGGGCAGUUUGACUGGGGCGGUCGCCUCCCAAAUGGUAACGGAGGCGUACAAAGGUUUCCUCUGAACGGAUAGAAAUCGUAUCUAGAGUGUAAAGGCAUAAGGAAGCUUGACUGUGAGACCUACAAGUCGAGCAGGGACGAAAGUCGGUCUUAGUGAUCUGACGGUACUGAGUGGAAAGGCCGUCACUCAACGGAUAAAAGUUACUCUAGGAUAACAGGCUGAUCUCCCCCAAGAGUUCACAUCGACGGGGAGGUUUGGCACCUCGAUGUCGGCUCAUCGCAUCCUGGGGCGGUAGUACGUCCCAAGGGUUGGGCUGUUCGCCCAUGAAAGCGGUACGCGAGCUGGGUUCAGAACGUCGUGAGACAGUUCGGUCCAUAUCCGGUGUAGGCGUUAGAAUAUUGAGAGGAGCCUUCUUUAGUACGAGAGGACCGAGAAGGACACACCGCUGGUGUACCAGUUAUCGUGCCAACGGUAAACGCUGGGUAGCUAUGUGUGGAGUGGAUAACCGCUGAAAGCAUCUAAGUGGGAAGCCCACCUCAAGAUGAGUAUUCUCAUCACUAUAAGUGAGUAAGGUCACGGUAAGACUAGCCGUUUGAUAGGCAUUAAGUGUAAAUGUAGUAAUGCAUGUGCUGAGAUGUCCUAACAGACCGAGGACU